rnacentral:lncRNA from 1 species
CGGCAGCUCAAGACUGAUUUUUCUAUCUCUUCAGUGCCUCUUUCAACAAUAUGAAGUUCAAACCAGGUUUUGUGCAAAUAUCUGCUGAGUGAACUACUUAUUUGAAAAGACAUCAUUGGUUAAUAUUCCCUUUUGCUCAUUGAAAUCUCAAAGACUACAGACAAACUACAAUAAAGCCAUGCCCUGACUGGAUGUGCCUAACAUUUGUCUGGUGCUUAAAGGAGUUGGCUGCAUGCAUGGAAAUGUUGGAAAGUCACCAAAAAUAGUUCUCCAAGUCAGAAGCGGUGCAAAAGCUGCCUCAGCUCUUGGUGGAUUUUCAAUUUCUCCCAGCCAUCUCUGUUUCUCUAAAGGUUUCUGAAGACAGUGGAAUGCUGUUGAAGACACCAGCUUGAUAAAACAAAAACAUCAGCCAAAUUAAAUUUAAAGGAGUUUAAUUGAGCAAAGAAUUAUUCAUGAAUCAAGCAGUCUUCCAAGCCAGAGUAGGCUCAAAUACUCCAGCACAGCCACGUGGUGGAAGAUUUAUGGACAAAAGAAGAAAAGUAACGUAUAGAAAAUGGAAAUGAGGGGAAGCUUUUUUCUCCUCCCCAUCCUAAUCACUAGUAUGAGAAGGGGUGCUAAUGGACCAGCCUUGGCCUUGCAGAUGAAGAUGAUGAAGGAAGAAGAUGUAUAAAGAACCUCUGAAAGAGUCCCAGUUUUACAUUUCAAAGUCUUUUGCCUUCUAUUUUUUAUUGUGUUGGGUUGGAGUGGAGGAUAUUUGGUGGAGAAUUGAUUCUGAAACUUGCCAAAAUAUGGAUAAUACUUUGCUCAUUUUCCAUUGUGGGUUAUCACAAAGAAGAGUUUCACUUUUAAUCAUCUAUUUACAGGUAUGGCAAUAGCUAUUUUCUUUUUCUUUUUUUUUUAUUUUAGGUUUUAUUUUAGGUACAUGUGAAGGUUUCUUGUAUAGGUAAACUAGUGUCAUGUGGGUUUGUUGUACAGAUUAUUUUAUCAACUAGGUAUUAAGGAAGCUCAGUACCCAAUAGUUAUAUUUUCUGCUCCUCUCCCUCAUCCCACUCUCCACCCUGAGGUCGACCCCAGUGUCUGUUGUUUCCUUCUUUCUGUUAAUGAGUUCUCAUCAUUUAGCUCCCACUUAUAAGUGAGAACAUGUGCUAUGUGUUUUUCUGUUCCUGUGUUAGUUGGCUAAGGAUAAUGGCCUCCAGCUCCAUUUUUGUUUCCCUCUCCAGCAUCUGUUUUUUUUUUUUUUAUUUUUAGUAAUAUCUAUUCUGACUGGUAUGAGAUGGUAUCUCAUUGUGGUUCUGACUUGCAUUUCUGUAAUGGUCAAUGAUGUUCAGCUUUUCUUUUCAUGUGCUUGUUGCCCACAUGUAUGUUUUGUUUUGAAAAGUGUUUGUUCGUGUCCUUUAUCCACUUUUCAAUGGGGUUGUUUGCUUUUCUCUCGUAAAUUUGUUUAAUUUCCUUAUAGAUGUUAUGACCUAGCAGCUGUACCUUUUUUAAUUUCAAGACACUCAAUAAACUAAGAACCAACAGCACA